CUCUCUUCGCUGUUGAGACCAAAAGUUUGUAUGAUUGCCGAGAGUUUGUUUUAAGACUGUACUUUUAUCAGAGGGGAACUGUAAUGUGAGAACGCGAUCCGGGAGGGUAUACGGGAUGUUUUAAAAUAUAUAUCCGCCCAGCGCUGAUGGCAGUUUAUGUGGAUUCUGGUUUGAAUCUACGAACUACGAAGCAGGAUCUAUGAAACAUUCUACGAUGGCUUCCGCCCGUCUCUGAACAUCAGCCUUCGCUAUUUAAACUUGGAACAGGGCAGUACGGCAGCUCAAUGCAUAUUCCUUGACGUCUUGCUCUGUAUUACGUAAAUGCUGAUCGAGUUUGUGUUUUUAAACAUUUCGAUUCCGUUAAUUUAACUAAAAGUAAUUUAUGUCUGGCAUUUCUGCAUAUUGCUGUUAGAUUUAAAGGCUGAUUCUAAUCUUACUUCGAAAUUCCUAUAUGUUAAAUUAAAAAGAAAAAACAAAGGAUUUUACUCAUAGCCAAGGAUCAACUGAAUUAUGGCUGAAAGAUACGAAAAAGCACACAGCUGUCAAUAUCAAACGUUAACGCCACAUUUAUAAC